rnacentral:rRNA from 1 species
GUGGGGAAUAUUGCACAAUGGGGGAAACCCUGAUGCAGCGACGCCGCGUGAGUGAAGAAGUAUUUCGGUAUGUAAAGCUCUAUCAGCAGGGAAGAAAGAAAUGACGGUACCUGACUAAGAAGCCCCGGCUAACUACGUGCCAGCAGCCGCGGUAAUACGUAGGGGGCAAGCGUUAUCCGGAUUUACUGGGUGUAAAGGGAGCGUAGACGGCAUGGCAAGUCUGAAGUGAAAUGCCAGGGCUUAACCCUGGAACUGCUUUGGAAACUGUCUAGCUAGAGUGCAGGAGAGGUAAGUGGAAUUCCUAGUGUAGCGGUGAAAUGCGUAGAUAUUAGGAGGAACACCAGUGGCGAAGGCGGCUUACUGGACUGUAACUGACGUUGAGGCUCGAAGGCGUGGGGAGCAAACAGGAUUAGAUACCCUUGUAGUCC